CAAUUUAGAGCUUGAAUAAGCAUCUUAGUUACAUUAAGAAGAAAAUUUUAAUAAUUUAAAUUGA
rnacentral:tRNA from 1 species